UUUACUUCAGGAUGUGAAUGGGGCUCUGGAACAGAUCCCGUUCGUAACCAGAGGUACCACUGUAUAAUAUACAAGUGGGAGCCUGAAACACAAUGUUGCAGUAUGGAAUGCUACUUUUUGUGGUUCCAGUCAAUCUGUUCCAUUGCCUCAUGGUCUAGUUUCCUUAGGUGUCCAAUAUUUUCAUUUUCAUUCUUUUUAAAAAAUUGUUCCCUCUUAAAUUUGUUUUUUUCUAAUCUUCAUGGACUAUCACCUAUCUUUUAUAAUGCUGUCAUGUUUUCCCAAGUCUCAGAAAUAGUUUGCUACUUCUGUUUCUGUCAAAGACCUACCACAGUUGUAAGCCUUAGGUCUGAUUUUAAAUUUUACAUGUCUUUCAAAUCCAGUGUCUCUCAACAUAGCUGUCAACUUUUCCCCUUUCUUGCGAGGAAUCCUAUUCAGAAUAAGGGAAUUUCCCUUUAAAAAAGGGAAAUGUUGACAGCUAUGGUCUCAACAUUCUGAUAUCCCUGCUAUCACUUUUCAUGUUCAGAAAUAUUACAACCUUCUCCCCCUACCUGAGACCUAAGUUUGUUUGGAAUGUGGUGAAGGGAAGAAGACUCAGGAAAGUCAAAUUGCUUUGCUUGCAUAAUUUUGGAUGAAUCCAUUGUCAAAUGACAACCUGACUUACUGAUCAUCCUUCCUUUUUACCCACCCCUUUGGGUAAGGAGACAGCAGACUGCAGAAUCAAUAUUGUCUCCUUCCUAGUUCCCCAUAUUCGUCUCCUUGGGUCUGUGCAAAACCUUCAGUGGUUGUUGUUCAUCCUCAGACUAUCCUAAUUAUUCAUGGGUAGUCCAAGUCUCUCCCCCCCCACGCCCAGUUUUAGUCUCCCCUCCCCUUCUUUUAGGAUAUUUUACACAUCCCCCUUUAAAAGCCAUGUUUACUGUCUGUUCCUGAGCUCCACCUUGUCACAACUAACUUUUGCUCUCACACAUCCACUUUAUUGAUAAGGAGACUGAGGCUUCUGAGUCAUUUAACUGAUUUAUUUUAUUUAAAAUUAGUUGUCCCUCUUAUUCAGUCAGUCAAGGAUGCUCUGUAAACUUACACAGUAUGGCAAUUUUGGUAAUGGCUAACUGAAGAAAUGCUCUUGUUAGCAAAAAUCAUAAUACAGCUGAAUAGUGGGAGAUUCAGGACAGAUUAAAAGUACUUCACACUAUGCAUUGUUAAACUGUGGAAUUCCCUGUCACAAACGGUGGUUGUGGCCAGCUUGGUUUUAGGAUUAAAUACGUCAUGAUUAUGGCUUUAAGUUACUCCCAAGAUCAAAGGCAGCAUGCCUCUGAAUACCAGUUGCUGGGGAACAACAGAGGGAGAGGUCUAUUGCCCUCACAUCUAGCUUGUGAGCUUCCCAUUGGCAUCAGAUGCGGAGGAAAGAUGCUGGACUAGCUAGGCCUUUGCUCUCAUUUAGCUACUUUUCUUACGUUCUCGAUAGUGUGCUGCUAUAGUAGUAAUAGCAACAUUUUGCUCAAAGUGCUUCAUUUACUUGAUCUGUAUUCUGAUUCUGUAAAACAGCUUAAUAUUAGCGAUUUAUGCAAGACUUCUAACAAAUCUUCAUGUCUGAAAUAUUCUAUAUCACCUGUUAUCAGACAUUACAUUUUCUUCAUUGAAAAGUCUGGCCCAUGUUGGUGUCUAUUGUUACAUUUUUGUGGCAAUGCACUGUUGUUCUGCCUCCUGAAUUGUGCUUCACUAUGUUUAAAUUUUUAACUUGAGGUAACGGUGUUAGCUUUCUUUUAUGGAAAGGACUGAUUAUGAUACCGUAACUCUUUUCUGUAGUAAAGCCCAUUCAUUGUCUUCAUUAUGUAUGUAUUCCUGUAACAAAAUCAGCAUCAAUGCAUUUUUUGUGUCUAAUUUUUAGAAGGCUUUUUGUUUUGCUGAGAGAGUGCUGUUGUUGAAUUGUGUUUUGACCUACUUUUUCAUUCAUGUUACAAACUAAAGACUGGAAAUGUGAAAUGUAAGGGUGACAAUUUGACCACAUUCUGAGACUUGAAUAUGUUCACAAGUUGCAAAGCCCUUAAUUCAGAUUUGUCCCCAGCAUUGUGGACCAUAUGUUCACAGAGUGUUCCAUAGUUGGCACUGGAAACAUUCUGCAUGUUCUCUGUCUCCAUGAAAAGUUGUGGGAAUCCACUAAUGCAAAGUUCUCAGGUUUAUUGACUGCAAAGGUUGUGUGGGAAGGGCUAUAACUUUGUCUUGAACAAAUUUACCUCAAAAUAAGCCCUCCUGAGUACAGUAUGACUUAAAGGUAAGUGUGCUCUGAAUCUCACUUUAAGCCACAUCAUUCUAUCCCCCACCCCGCACUUACUGACUUACAGUAUUCUUAUAUUGCCAUAAUGUAGAGACUCAAAACAACAUCUGAAGUCUGGCAACAGAUUGCUUUUUUAAUACAUGAUACCUGAACCAUCUGCACUUAGAGUAAUUAAAGAAAGUGACUGUUUUGGAUUCAGUUUCAACCUUAGAAAAUGUCACAGAAAAUAUCCUUUUGAGUCUCAGAGUUAUAGGGGAUUGGUGUGAAGCAGGUGGGUGGUUUUAAAUAUAUAGACUCUGUGUCUUAUAAAGUAUACUCUGGAGAAACUUUUCAAUUUGGCAGUAGUUUACUUAACUAUGACAUCAGCUGCAAAGAUCUGGCAAAAAAUGGAGCAUUUCCAAACCUGCAAAUGUUUUUUUUACCCCUUUAGUGUGGUUUCUAGCUAAUGUACAUAAGAGACCUGGAUGUGUGUGGAAGGUGGCAUCUUCCUCAAUGUUAUGAAAUACUGUCACAUUAACAUUGUUAGUGCAUUGUCAUAUAAUCUGAUAGUCAAUAAAACCUCUGGAUCCUUCUAGCUAA